AUUGAACGCUGGCGGCAUGCCUUACACAUGCAAGUCGAACGGUAACAGAUCUUCGGAUGCUGACGAGUGGCGAACGGGUGAGUAAUACAUCGGAACGUGCCUAGUAGUGGGGGAUAACUACUCGAAAGAGUGGCUAAUACCGCAUGAGAUCUACGGAUGAAAGCAGGGGAUCGCAAGACCUUGUGCUACUAGAGCGGCCGAUGGCAGAUUAGGUAGUUGGUGGGAUAAAAGCUUACCAAGCCGACGAUCUGUAGCUGGUCUGAGAGGACGAUCAGCCACACUGGGACUGAGACACGGCCCAGACUCCUACGGGAGGCAGCAGUGGGGAAUUUUGGACAAUGGGCGCAAGCCUGAUCCAGCAAUGCCGCGCGCAGGAUGAAGGCCUUCGGGUUGUAAACUCCUUUUGUACGGAACGAAAAGCCCUGGGUUAAUACCCUGGGGUCAUGACGGUACCGUAAGAAUAAGCACCGGCUAACUACGUGCCAGCCGCCGCGGUAACAC
rnacentral:rRNA from 1 species